CUCUGUUUGGAUUCAAGAUGUUUUGGACAGAGCGACGCGCAUCAGCCACCGACCAAGGGAUAUUCCAAAGGUGGCAUGGUAAAGGCACUAAUCAGAACUAAGCAAACGCUCGAUAAAUCCGCCCCUUGUAGCUGCUAGAGGGGAUAAGCGGGAAAGGAAUAAAUGAUUAGUGUUGUGAGACCGGAAUGGGGGCGUAAAGCCUAACUCACAGCGCAGGG
ncrna:Vibrio cyclitrophicus ZF65 PAGEV RNA